CCCUUAGAUGUUCUGGGCCGCACGCGCGCUAUACUGAUGCAUUCAACGAGUUUCUUCCUGGUCCGAGAGGAAUGGGUAACCUUUUGAAAGUGCAUCGUGAUAGGGAUAGACUAUUGCAAUUAUUGGUCUUCAACGAGGAAUUCCUAGUAGACGUAGUUCAUCAGACUGCAUCGAUUACGUCCCUGCCCUUUGUACACACCGCCCGUCGCUCCUACCGAUUGAAUGCUCAGGUGAGCCAUUCGGACUUUCAUCAUGCUGGUUUCCAGUUUUGAUGAAGGAAAGUCUUGCGAACCUUAUCAUUUAGAGGAAGGAGAAGUCGUAACA
rnacentral:rRNA from 1 species